rnacentral:rRNA from 1 species
AGAGUUUGAUCCUGGCUCAGGACGAACGCUGGCGGCGUGCCUAAAACAUGCAAGUCGAACGUCCCCCUUCGGGGGGUAAGUGGCGAACGGCGGAGUAAUACAUGAGGAAGCUGCCUCGAAGACUGGGAUAUACGGUCGAAAGACCGGGCAAUACCAGAUGUGGCUCCAGAAGGGCAUCCUUUUGGAAUCAAACGGCGCAAGUCGCUUCGAGAGGCUCUCAUGGCCUAUCAGGUAGUUGGUGGGGUAACGGCCUACCAAGCCUACGACGGGUAGCGGGUCUGAGAGGACGAUCCGCUCGAGUGGGACUGAGACACGGCCCACACACCUACGGGUGGCAGCAGUUGGGAAUCUUGCACAAUGGGGGCAACCCUGAUGCAGCGACGCCGCGUGGAAGACGAAGGCCCUGGGGUCGUAAAUUCCUUUUGUCGAGGAAGACUUAGGACGGUACUCGACGAAUAAGCACCGGCUAACUACGUGCCAGCAGCCGCGGUAAUACGUAGGGUGCAAGCGUUGUCCGGAUUUACUGGGCGUAAAGCGCUCGUAGGCGGUUUGUCAAGUGUGAAGUGAAAUCUCCAGGGCUCAACCCGGAAACUGCUUCGCAGACUGGCAGACUUGAGUGACUCAGAGGUGGAUAGAAUUCCUGGUGUAGCGGUGAAAUGCGUUGAUAUCAGGAGGAAUACCGACGGCGAAGGCAGUCCCACUGGGAGUCUACUGACGCUGAGGAGCGAAAGCGUGGGUAGCAAACAGGAUUAGAUACCCUGGUAGUCCACGCCCUAAACGAUGGAUACUAGGCGUCGGAGGUUUAUACCCCUUCGGUGCCGCAGCAAACGCAUUAAGUAUCCCGCCUGGGUAGUACGGCCGCAAGGUUGAAACUCAAAUGAAUUGACGGGACCCCGCACAAGCGGUGGAGCAUGUGGAUUAAUUCGAUACUAACCGAAGAACCUUACCCAGUCUUGACAUCUAGUGUAAGCUCCCGAAAUGGAGCCCUCUCCCACAAGGAGACACGACGACACUUGUUGCAUGGCUGUCGUCAGCUCGUGCCGUGAGGUGUUUGGUUAAGUCCAGCAACGAGCGCAACCCUCGUUCUAUGUUGCCAGCGGGUCAUGCCGGGAACUCAUAGGAGACCGCCGGUGUAAACCGGAGGAAGGUGAGGAUGACGUCAAGUCAGCAUGGCAGUUACGACUGGGGCUUCACACAUGCUACAAUGGGCGAAACAGAGGGCACCGAUACCGCGAGGUGGAGGAAAUCCCAAAAAUACGCCCCCAGUUCAGAUUGCAGUCUGCAACUCGACUGCAUGAAGGCGGAAUCGCUAGUAAACGCAGGUCAGCUAUACUGCGUUGAAUACGUUCCCGGGGUUUGUACACACCGCCCGUCAAGUGAUCUGAAUUGUCUUCACCCGAAGUCCGUGGCCUAACCGCAAGGAGGGAGCGGCCGAAGGUGAGGGGAGUAAGGAGCACUAAGUCGUAACAAGGUAACC